UUUUGAUAAAUAAGUUGCAGGACCAGCCAAACUAUGAAAAAACAUUUUUUUCCGACUUAUAGUCCGGAAAAUACGGUAUAUGCCAUUUCUAAUGAACAACAGCAUACCCAGCCUCUGAAAGUUGUACAAGUACAGAAUGUUUUUUGUAGUUUUAAGUUACUUUUGUGUUGUAACUUAAAAAUGCAUUUUAAAAAUAUGUUUUUUUAAUAACAAUGUGCAGCAGAUUAGUUCUAUAGAUGAAAAUGUUUUUAGACAGUGUAGUGUUCAUGUAGUUUUACUGUUACAUGAGAACAGUUUCUCUGAAGCUAACGAUGGCUCAGAUUGCAGUGGGUCACAGUCAGGGUCAUGGCACCAGUACCGAUUCCUGCGACAUGGUCUUACGUUAUCAGAGAGCAGAAGCAAUGUUACUGGUGAGUCAUAAGUAUGUAAAAUCUCAAAGUUCAUUGAUUAUAUGUAUUUAUGUAAUUUUUUUACUCUUCAAAUAAUAGUACCUAUGUGAUGAUUCUACUGUUUUGUAUUUAUCGCAGUGAUGAAACGAGCGUAUCGAGCAGCAUGUAUGAUGAGUGUGAGGAAAUGGGGUAAAGCUCAUUUCAUCACAGUUUAUUAAUCAACUGCAAUGUGCCCUGGACAUUAUACACUCACAAAAUAACUAAUUUUCAAUUGCUACCUACUAAUAAGCCUAAAUAAGAGAGGAUUAUUUUUUAAGACUAUUUAUUUUGUAGGUCCCAGUAGCCAACUCAUAAUGAUGAGUUUCACUGCACACACCUGACAAGAGCACCACUGCUAAUGUGUGUGUUUGUAUAUCCUUUUACACCAUAGGUGUUUUUUUUUAUUUUGGGGGAUAUAAUGUUGAGAAUUAUGUCUCUCCAACCACAGAGGAGCAUUUGGGGGGGCACUCCUUUAGGGCGGAGGCAGAUCAGACCGCUUCUGGAGGUGGAUCAGCUGGCCCAGGAGACACAGAGGGCUGUGAAAGAAGAGGAGAUUAGCAGAGAGAGAAAAGCAGAGAUUGGAAAUUGAGAGGAGAGAACAAGAAGACGCAGACUCAGGAGGGAAAAGAGGUACAGCUUCCUCCUGUUUUCACAGGUCUGGGUGCAGGUUUGGCGAGCGAUUCUGUAAAGCUGAGUGAUUUUGAAUGGAGAGAGGCAACAAGUGAAGGUUUAGUGGGUGAUGGAGAGAGAAAUACUGAUCCAGUCUCCUUGGUCAGCGGGUCCAAUCAAAAUCCACAAAAUCCAGAUGUCACAAACACAGCCACAGUGGAAAUUUCUGGUGGGGAAGCUGAUGGGAAAACAGUCUCUCUCUCUCCUUUAAUCUGCCUCUCUUUGUCUUUAUGUCUGUCUCAUUCUUAGUGUCUCUCUCUGUCUAUUGUUCAGGAUUUGAUGUGGGUAAUGGGCCAUCUGCCGACUGGUAUCUGCCAUUUGUAACAGUGGCUGAUGCCAAAGUGCUGGAGCAUUCUGGGAAAUUGCAGUAGCUACUUGAUAUUUUAUGCUGAGCAGAGGAACUACAGGAAAAAGUGUGAGGAAAACAUUCUUGAAUAGAAGUAGCAGUUUUUAUAAGCUUUACAUUGGUUGUUAUGUUCAUAUAACCUACCGUUCAAAAGAUGUUUAAAAAACAAAUUCAUACUUUCAGAUUGAUCAGAAAGGGAUAGUAAAACUUUGCCAUCAAAAGAAUAAAUUACAUUUUAAAAUAUUCAAAUAGAAAACAGUUGUUUUAAAUUGUAAUACUAUUUCACAAUAUUACUGUUUUACUGUAUUUUUGAUCAAAUAAUUGCAACCUUGAUGAUCAUAGUAGACAUCUUUCAUAAACAUAAAAAGAAAAAAACAUUCCAACCCCAAACUUUUGAAUGGUAGUGCAGAUGAAAUGAUUGCCGUUUCAAUGUUCAGAGUCAUAGUUAGGUUUUUAUGAAUGUUGUCUGCUUUUCUCAGGUUAGUGUUUAUCCAGUCUCUGAUAUCGCUUGACCUUAAUGAGAGUUUCCUCGUGUAUGCAGAUGAGACCAGGGGGGAUAAAUGUUGUCUACAUAAGGGUAAAUGAAGAGUUAUACAGAAGAAUGUAAGAAAUGUAAUUUGUUAAUUUCCCAUAGUUAUGUUUGUGUGUGUGUGUAUUGUCAGGAAAAUAAAUUCUGGGUUAAAAAUAAAGAUUAUUAUGUUUUAUUAUGAUGAUUGUUAUCCAUUUUUGGAUGGCAACACAAGUGCUUGUGCUUGCAAGAGAUGGGCUCAAGAGUUUAACAACAUUAAAGAAAUAAGGUACACUCAAAAAGUACAUCCACAUCACAUUUAAGUUGUCUGCAUUUCUUGUCCCGACCCUUGCUGUUUCCUGUAUGUCAGAGGAUGGUUAUUUCUGAUCUCCACUCACGUGGGGUCUCUGGGAAUCAACCUGGUUGAGGUGUUUGACGCUUGCUGGAAUCCGUCAUAUGCUCAUCCAGAGCAUCUUCAGAGUCUAUCGCUUUGGGCAGAAAAAACUGUAUGUGUGUACCAUUUUCUAGCCCAGGUAUACAAACGACAGAUACUUGGGAGCAACUGAGAAGUCAAUUGUCAUUGUUAACCUAUUCAGGAAGAUUUUACUAUUGAGUAAAUAAUGCCUUAAUUUUUUUUUUAAAGUUUUUAUUUUGUUUUUUCACAUACAUUUUUAUAGCUUUAACAAAUACUAUAUGGGAAGCUAUAAUCUUGCGUUUUUAAUAUGGCUGUUUGUUUUGUUUUGUUUUUUUGGGGCCGUAUGGAAUGAUGGAAAAGAAAAUUUAUGAGUGGCAAGUUGCUAAACAGUCUCUGUCUUAUGUUCUGGACCAGUAUAGUCCAUAUAGUAAGUUAUCAUGAACACAACUCAUUGUUAGACCACUAGGAAGAAGAGGAGCUGAGCAAGGAAGAGCACAGAACAGCCUGGGAUGAAUAUCGUGCAGAAAAGAAGGUACAAACUGUAAAUUUCAGGUCAGUGGAUUUAAACUGUGGUAUGGAGCGCCCUCAGGUGGUACACAUCACAAACCAGACAAUUUACACUUAACUUCACUAAUAAACUAAUAUAAAUAAUGUUUAUUUAUACACCAGGGGUUCUCAACUCUGACCCUCAGGUCCGAACUCCUGCAGAGUUUAGCUCCAACCUUGAUCAAACUCACCUGCCUAUAACUUUCUAGUGAUUCUGAAGACCUUGAUUAGCUUGUUCAGGCGUUUUUGAUUAGAGUUGGAGCUAAACUACAGGAAAGUGGACCUCAAGGGCCAGAGUUGAGAACCCCAGUUAUACACUAAAUAAACGUGUGUGGCACGAUGCGAAACACUGUAAAGUCACAGAGCGGAGUGCAGCGGUGCCAAUGCUCUGCUGAUUUCAUAAGGCCUCUGUACAGAACUUCAAUUAACCCACCCACCGAAACCUCAACCAAGCACUACAGUUCAUUCACCUUCAGCAGGCUCUGGCUUCUCGAAACUGUGUUCCUUCAGGAACUUCAUUACCUGUAAGACAAGGCAUUGCCGAACAUUCUGCUGCUGGAGCCACUUAUAACAACUUCAACAUCACAUUUUGGUUGGAGCAACCUAAUGCGGUUUUCUCCAUUUCAGAAACAAACACAUAACCCAAUCCCCCUCAUGGUUUGUGUUCGAUUUGAUUGCUCUCAAUAUUACCAAUAUGAAUGUAGUUUUAACUGAAUGGACUCACAAGAUAAUGCUCAGGCACACAUUUUAAGUCCUCAAAGCAAACUGCUGUUGUCAGAAAUAUGAACCUUAAAACAACACUUUACUGAGCGGCCCUUUGGCGUUUCUAGCUACCUGAAUACCUUCUAGCUAUAUAUAUAUAAUUUUGUUUAAAAUUUAAAUCCUCAGUCUGUGUUAUGACAUGAGCACUCUUCUCUGUUCAACUGCUUUGUGUUUGCAAUGAAAUAAUAGAAAUAAAGAAAUAAAAACACUAACUGUGUCCUGCGGGGCGCUGUUUCUCUUAUUACUUUUGCUUCAUUACUAUGGACUCGUCGUUGCAGUCAAAGAUUUUCCAGACAUAGACGUGCGCUGACUGCGUUGACUCUUGUUCAUAUCUGUGACAGUCCUGCUCACCUGUUCGACGCAGAGAGGUAUGAAAUCUUAUUUUUUUCUAGAUAUUCAUUGUAUGAAAAUAUGCAGUUCUAGAGUUUGAAUUAACAAAAUUGCCAUUUGCUCCCGGUUAUUUUGGUUGUUAAUUGUGUGUAUGAAUUCUCUCUCAGUGGUGUUCUUAUGCCUGUUCCACGUGUGUUUUGGAAUGUUCUCGUGGUCAUUUUGGAAAACACUGUCCACUUCUCCAUCCUCUCCUUCUGUGGAGGUACAAUUGCAUCAUAAAGUAAUGGUUCUUUACCAAAAAGUAAGUUCCUUUUCUGGACUUGACAUGGAGUGUACCAUGGAAUAACCAUUCUUUGAAGCACCUAACUUGGAGUACCACAUAAACAGUGUAUGAUAGCAUAUCUAUGUACCUUAUUUAACCCUAAAAGGUGCAUAUUUGUACUUUUUGAAAGGGUACUGCAUUUGUGACAGCUUUUAUGAGACAUUUUCCUGAGAGUGUUGAAUUGAUGCUGCUCUGUUGCACUUCAUUAUGCACCAACGUGUUUGUUGUUAGGAUGACAACAUUUUUAAGCUUUUUGUUGAGGCUUGGUGGUCUAGCAGUGUCAAAAUGAUUAAGAUGGCCAAUCAAAUCAAAGAAGAUUGUGUUUACUGUCCACAGAAUCCGAACAUGAAUUACAGCUCUACACAUUGAAAAAAAAAAAAUAUUGUGAGGUAUCAUGUAAUAUCUAAACAUAUAAUAUUUGAGCGGUUUAACAAUAAAAAUGUAGUUAUUCAGACUGCUUUUAUGUCAAAUCUCACUGUUUUGAAUUGAAAGUAGAGCAUAUCAUUUACAUGAUUCAUGUAACUCUUAAAUGAAUGUAAUUGAAACGUUAUCCUUUUUAUGCCCGUUAGGUGUAAGACAAAGAAAGAAUGUGUGCAAAAUAUAUUUUGUAGGAUUAAAAUGUUAUUUGCAAAUAAUUAAGAUAGAUUACAAUCAAUUCUAGUUAUUUUGCUGUUUGUCUAUUUCUUUAUUCCUAUAAAUCCCUUAAACUCCUUUCAAUUGGAUUAUUUCUUUGAAUAAAAUUUGGUUUGGCCCCCCUAAUGUUUGACAUGGUUAAGGCCUUGGAUCACUGUACCAUAGUAUAUAUCAGGACUUUUUGGCUAGGGGAAUUUAAACUGCUUCUCAGUUCUGCUGGCUUCACCCCAACAGAAGCGAUAAGUAGAUUUGGGCUCUUACGGGGGUCAGGCCGUCCACCUGCAAGUUAUUCAAGUCAGGCAUGUCAUACAUGACAAAUGAGCGUAAAAGAAACCCCUCUCCCUCUCAGAGCACCGCAAUCUAAUUUACUAAUUGUAUGUGUGUGUGUUUGUGUGUGCGCGGAUGUCUGUGUUCAGUUUCAGCUCUCCUUUUCAGACCCGCUGCUCUAUGAGGAGGAACAUGGCGCUAUGGAGAAGAGUCAGAUUCUUCUGGAAAUCUCCCAGAAGCUUCCAGUACACACCUGUACAGCAGUCGGAGGUCAGGAAACCCUUCGGCACAUAAAAUAUAAAAAACAAUAAUGUGAAGUAUAAUUUAAAUAACAUCUCAAAACAUAACUGCAUCCAGUCCAAAUGUAACUUAAAAUAAAAAUAAAAAACAUGCAGUCGUUUAAGUGUAGCCCAUUUCUCAAAAUAAGUGACUUUUAUUAGUUUGUUUUAUUGAAUAUUUCAAAGAGUCAAUAUCAAACAAUAUCUUCAUUCUCAGCAUUAGGAAAUAAAUAAUUUUCCCAUAUGUACUCAGAAAGGAGACAGUAUCUGAAAUAAACCCAAAUGUAUUGGAAUCAGACUGAAUCGAAAAUUUGUAUCGAUACCCAGCCCUGAAUAUAAACAAAAUUGAUUAUUUGCCGAAAAUGCACUGUCUUGGCUUCAAAAACAUUAUGUGUGGUCCUCUGAAUAAUCUAAGUUAGUCUGGUUUAGUACAUCUUAAGGAAAAGAAAACAAUGAUGUAAUUUCCUUUUAUACUAUUUUAUUUAAUACAACUUGACAAAUGAUCAAUUCAGUAACACCAGUGGCGAUAAUAAACAAAACCAAAAAACGAGGAGCAAAAAAUGUAAUAUGUCACACUACAUUGCCGUAAGGAACACAGAGCCAAGGAUAAUCGCUAAAGUCUUUAUUAACCCAACACAAGGGUAAAUCCAACAAGGAUAACAGGAGAAAGACCGACUUAUGAAACUGAUAGACCCAACAACACUGAACUGAAAGGACACGGCUUAUAAAGGCAGGAUGAUUGGGAAAACACAGAUGCUAGGGAUGAAACAAUUAACAUAGAACAUGGAACACAUGGAGGGAAAACACAACCCAAUGAGUCCAAGAGCGUGACAGAAUAAGAAAUUAAUUGAGUAAUAAAUGUAUUUUAUAUAUAGAUCAGCAUGUUCUAACAGUAAUAGUAAGGAUAACAAUUGUAGUUUUUUUUUCUUUUUUGAGUAAACUAAUAAUUUUAGUAUGCAUAACUAUUUUAUAAAUGUCAUAAGUGUUUUACCUGAAUGGCCAGUAGACUCCUUUAAUUUAGUUUGGGAUCUAAACACUAAAACACCUACUGUAUUUGUACUGAUUCUCUUAUUAAGUUAAGUUAAGUGAUCCAGUUAUAAUUUUUAAAGCCAUUUUAUAAAUCAAGACAUGAUUUAUAGUGACUUUAAAUCACUUAUAUGUUGAGACAUAAGUUUCUGUUAACUAAUCUUAAACUAUAUUUUAAUAUAUGAGAUUAUAUGAUGAACGAAGACAUGUAACUGUCUGUUAUUAAAGUGGGAUUCCAUUUGCCUAAAUGUUGGAGAAAAUGCUAUUUAUUUAUUUGGUUGUUUGUGUGUGUGUUCAUCUCAGCUAUCAGGUUCUGUCAUCACUGCCAAUUGAUAAAACCAGACCGCUGCCAUCACUGUUUUGUCUGCCAAAAGUAGGAAUCUCUCUCUCUCUCUCUCGUCUUUCUCUCCCCUCCCUCUCUCCAUUUCUUUGUGUGUAUCAGUGCAUCUCCAACUCAUCACACUCUUCCCUAAAUGAAAGGGAGACAUAGAAAUGUGAUCUGUGGGUGAGUGUGUGUGUGUGUGUGUAAUAAUUACAGGAUGUUGUUGAAGCGCUUGGUCACAUUUAUUUGAGUGGACACAGUGAAUCUUCUCAAAUGAGUUUUGCUCCGUGUCAGUAUCACAUUCCCAUCCUUCAUUUAAAGUCCAGGUCUGAGUGUGUGAGAGAGUGAGUGAGAGAGAAAAAGAAUGACUUUGUGUUUGUGGAGAUUUUGAAUGUGUGUGUCGGAUCACACGUUUUUUUUUAGUUUAUUAUUUUAUAAGAAUAGUUCCUGUGGCUUGUGCGCUUCCCUCCUCUGCGUUUGUAAGUAAAAAGCUGUGUGUUUGUAAGAAACAACUGCAUCAUAAAAUUGUCAUAAAUUGUUUGGCCAAAAUACAAAUUCCCUUUACAUAAUAACACUUCCUCUAGUGAAAAAGUCCAUCCCGUUCCAUCCCCUCUCACUUCAAAACCCACCAACAUAUUUGUUAAGAACUGUUAUAGACUGUUCAUGAUUGUAAACAGUGCUUGUUUUGUGCAUAUUUCUCUCCUGAUUCAGGCAAAGGGCCUGGUAAAAGCAAUGUUAUACGAAGAGGACUAAAGAAUGGUUUAAUUUAAAAAACGUUUUAAUGAUGGCUUUGUUUAUUAUGAACAUGUGGCUUUUUGUUUGUCGAUGAGUCAUGUGGAUUGCUUGUGGAUUAUUGUUUUUAUCAACUUUCUUCUUGACGGCACCCAUUCACUGUGUGCAAGUGUAAUGCUAAAUUUCUAUCUGUUCCGAUAGAACUACACCUUAGAUGAUCUAAGAGUGAGUAAAUGGUGGGUAUUAUAUUCCUUUAAACAUCUUUAAUUUGCCACUGAUGUUGCUUAGGCUGUGCAGGCUAUUGGAAAUUCAGGCAUUCAUUUACCUUAAAAUCAGGAAGUAAAAUGGCUAUUUACAUUUACUUAAAUCUUGUUUAAAUGGCAAAAUGACUUUUUCAUUUACAAAAAAAAAAAAAAAAAAAACGUAAAAAAACAACAACUGUGUGCUGUUGUGAGCAUGUUUAGGCUGAAUAACUGUAUUGGAUUCUCCAACUAUAAGUUCUUCAUGCUCUUCCUGCUCUACUCACUUCUAUAUUGCCUCCUCAUCAUUACAACGGUUACACCAACCUUCAUUCAACUUUGGCUGGUCAGUGCAUGUAUUUUUUUGCAAGAUUCAGAUGCACUUUUAGUGGUAGAGACUAUUGUCAACCUUUAGAUGGCAUGUCCACAGUCCACCUACGGUUGCUUGGUAUCAAUUAUUUGAAAUAUAUUACACAUACUAAUAAAAUAUAGCUUUGAUGCAAAGUCACUUUGGAUAAUUUGUGAAUAAAUGUGAUAAAAAGGUUUUAACUUUUGUAGUAUAAUGAAUUCUUACUUAUGCAAUAAUCGUCAUUAUAUUACAUUCUUAAAUCAAGACUUCUUAUUUCUGUUUAUGGAAUCUUACUAUAAUAUUCCUGGAUUACACAUUGCUCUCUCUCUCUCUCUCUCUCUCUGUCUCAGGGCAAACUGUUUGAUAGUUGUGUUAAACUGCAUGUUUUGUUCCUGACACUGGUGUCAGCCAUGUUUGCUGUCACCCUCUGUUUUUUGCUUUUCUUCCACAUCUGGCUUCUCACCAGCAACAAAACUACUAUCGAGUGGUUGUCAGUCCCCUUUUUGCGGAUGGACCUGGAAGUGAGGCAUUUGAUGUGGGUGUCUGGGCAAACUUCUUACAGGUGUUUGGAAAGAAAAAAUGUAUCUGGCCAUUUCCAGUAUCCAGCAGGUCAGCAUUAAGCAAUAAUCAUUGUUCUGACUCUAACAGUGUUUCUCAAAUCUUGCCCUGGAGGGCCAGUGCACUGCAGAGUUUAUUUCCAACCCUGAUCAAACUCACCUGCCUGUGAUUUUCUAAUGAUCCUCGCGUCGCAUGCUCAGGUGUGUUUGAUUUGGUUAGUGCUAAACUCUGCAGGAAAGUGGAUCUUGUGGGCCAGAUUUGAGGAUCCCUGCUCUAUGAACUCAAUAAGUCAGUUUGCAUGCAUGCAUGCUAAUAAGCUGACAACGGUCGUGUAAAUGCUGUAACCCAUUUUCUUUUAUCGGAAUAAUUCAUAAAUUGCGACAGCAUACAUUUUGAAAACUCAGCUUUGCCAUCACAAGAUUAAAUAAUUUUUUUUAUAUAAAAAUAGAAGAUAGUUCUUUAUAAUGAUAAUAAUAUUUCACACUAUAAAUGUAUUUUUGAUCAAACAAAUGCAGCCUUGUCAAGGGGAUGGACAUUCUUUCCCCUUGAGAUGGCAGAUGUCCUCUCACAGUCGUUCAGUGAUAAAUGGAAAUGUACAUUAUGCCAUGGAAGGAAGUUCUCACCUGAGGGGGUCUCUGUUACCAUAGCAGUGGGUGACUAGCAGUCAUGAAAUAAGGUUGACAGAAUGUGUCAUGUAACCUCAUCACAGUGAAUCUCUCAACCGAGGCGAUUUUAGAAAGAUCUCAAUCACAGGUUAAGCUUACAGGAGUGGCGGAGGCCCUCAGGGAGACGAGGAUGAGGGUAAAAACAACUGCCUGCAUGCUCAGUUUUCACCUGAAACACUUCUUGCAGGAGUUUUCAAGUCUCUGAAACCGCUCUUUUACUGAUCAGGGUGUGAGAGAGCCUUAUCAGGCGUCCCUGUCAAGUGAUAAUGUGUUCAAUUCAUUAUUUUGUGGUGAAAUGCAGUCUGGUGUUUUGUAUGAACUUUGUUUAAA